UGUUUUUCCGAUCCUUUUGUUGCACACGGUUUUAAUUUCCUGUCUCCCACGUUUUAGUUCUUUACCCUUCCCCACCUUCUCUAUUCUACGGUUUCCUAUGGUUUCACAUUUAAUCAUCGCCAGCCUCUCUCCCUUCUAACGGCAACCUCUCUGUUUUCCUUCCUUCCUGUCUUCCUCUCCUUACAAUAUAUAAAUACUGAUAGCAGCUAGACGAUUCAGUUGAGUAUAGGGAUUUUGGAGUAUUCAUGCUUCUGAGGCUGCGCAAGUUGAUGAUGAAGAUACAGCAAUGAUGAACAUUAUCAGGAAUCAACUGUGCUGAUAUAACAAAUUAGCUUUGGCGUCAUUGGCUCCAUCUGAUGAAUCAGUACCUAGCAGCUCUAGAAAGAAGAAGUCCAAGUGAUCACUGCCAUGUUCAUGCAAAAUACACCAUUGUUUCUACCAGAAAGGUGCUUUUGGAAGGAGAGAAAUGCUAAGAAACAAAGUCUGCAACAACAUUGAAACAGAUGAAAAAUUUUCCUAUUCUCAGGCAAAUCAUGGUCCUCACGGAAGCUUCAAAGUCUAAGAAAGGCAAAUGGAUUGGUGUUUCAUUUUAGUGUAAGAAUUUGAAAAAGUUCCAAUAUGUUCAUGGGCUGUCAAAGUUGAAAAGUGCAUAGGAAGAUUACUGCUAUAUUGUUAUCUUUGAGGGUUCUCCCUAUCAAAGUCAUGAGAUAAUUUGUAGAACAAGCUUCUUUAUUUUUUAUUCUAUAUAUAUAUAUAUAUAUAUAUUU